rnacentral:lncRNA from 1 species
AACCGCUUCUCCGAACUUCACUCCGUUCCGAGCCAAGAGCUCAGGGAAAACACAUCCUAGGGCUCCGAGCAUGGCCCAUCUGCAGUGGAUAACUUCUAGCUCACGGUUCCUUGCGAAAGUCUCUGGGUCGGCGGAUAGACCGGCGGUGUCCCAUCCGUAGUCUCCGGGGAACUCACCGGUGAGGUAGCUUGGGGGCUCGCCGGAGAAUGGACCCAAGUACUUGACUCUGUCGGAUCCGUACCAUGGGCUGCCAGAUGGGCCUGUGGGCUUGGCGGUUUUGCGCAUGGUGACACGACCGGUUCCAAAUACUUCGGAGGCUGCCGGUGAGAGCUUCACGGCCUUUCCGGCGAAGGCAGGGGAGGACAGAGCCAUGGUUGAGGCAGCCAUUGGAAUUCUUCUUCUUUUUUUUCUUUUUUUGGUUUUUUUUUUUGUGACUGGUGAGAGUGAUUGAAAAUGGUUGGGGUAUAGAUCCAUUUUAUAGAAAUCUUAAGAAUGAGAUUUUGGAUAUGUCGUUUGGUUGUCCUAUGUGUCACUCUCUACUCCACCAACUUUUGGUUUAGAUUCUUUGAUUGCAAUGAAGACACUUGUGAUUUUUACACUGGAAAAUUUGAGUAAAUUACCACAAAUAAAGGCUACUUUGUUUUGAAUUAACUCGACGCUGAUGAUUCGUUUCAAGCGGAUAGAAAUAUGUCAAAAAAUACAGGUGGCAUGCAAUCAGUGGAUAUUCGUAUAUGCUGAGACGGUACAAGAUAUCUAAAUUAUCUAUCUAAACACAACUCAACUCCUAACUACAAAUGGGAACACUUAUGCCAGCUCAGUAAGACAAAAAAAUCUAAGCUCCAAAGAUGUCUGCAACCAAUAGAAACGAAGACAUUGAUAUCUUGAGAUAAAGAGAAAUAAAUCCAAAUAGAUUAAUCAACAGUUUGUUUUCACAUUAUAAAAUACAGAGAAACAUCACCGAAUCUCAACCAUCUAAUUCCUCACAACUAAAACAUUUUACUUGCAACACACUCUAACCGCAAUGGCUACCUCGACAAUGGCUCUUUCCUCUCCUGCUUUGGCCGGACAGGCCAUGAAGUUAUCUCCGGCGGCCUCUGAAGUAUUUGGAACCAGUCGAGUCACCAUGCGCAAAACCACUAAGCCCACCGGCCUAGGCCUGGGCACAUUAUCCGAACCCGAACAAUCUAUCCGAACCUGAUCCGAAAAAGAGAAACUGAAUCCGAACCGAAACUAAUAAAAUAUCCGAACGGUUUUGAAAUUUCUAAAUCCGAAAAACCGAAACCGAACCACACCAAACCGAAAAUCCGAAUGGAUAUCCGAAAUAUCCGAAAUACAAUUAUAUAUCCAAAAUACUAACUACAUUUAGACUUAAUAACCUAAAAUCACAAUUAUAAAUCUAAAAUAUGAAUUUUUUUAUUCUGAAAAUGAUGAAAAAAUCCAAAAUAAUUUAAAUAUACUAAAGUUUUUAGUUAUAUUUGUUAAAAUUUGCCAAAUUUUAUUUGAAUUUAACCAAUUUUAUUUAAAUUUAAUUAUUUUUAUUUAAUUUUUAUUAUUUUUUGGAUAUCCGAACCCGAACCGAACCCGAUCGAAUAUAACCGAACCCGAACCGAAAUUCCAAAAAUACCCGAAUGGGUUUUAAAUCUAAAAACCGAAAAUCUGAAAACCCGAAUUAUCCGAACCGAAUCUGAAUGGAUAUCCGAACGCCCAGGCCUACACCGGCCCAUCUGGCAGCCCAUGGUACGGAUCCGAUAGGGUCAAGUACUUGGGUCCUUUCUCCGGUGAGCCCCCGAGCUACCUCACCGGGGAGUUACUACGGAUGGGACACCGCCGGUCUAUCCGCCGAUCCAGAGACCUUCGCUAGGAACCGUGAGCUAGAAGUUAUCCACUGCAGAUGGGCCAUGCUGGGAGCUCUUGGAUGCGUCUUCCCUGAGCUCUUGGCUCGCAACGGAGUGAAGUUCGGAGAAGCGGUUUGGUUCAAGGCUGGUUCACAGAUCUUCAGUGAAGGAGGGCUAGACUACUUGGGCAACCCGAGCUUGGUCCAUGCUCAGAGAAUCUUAGCCAUUUGGGCCACUCAAGUGAUCCUCAUGGGAGCUGUUGAGGGUUACAGAGUCGCCGGAGAUGGCCCUUUGGGAGAAGCAGAGGACUUGCUUUACCCUGGUGGAAGUUUCGACCCAUUGGGCCUCGUUACCGACCCAGAAGCUUUCGCGGAGUUGAAGGUGAAAGAGAUCAAUAACGGAAGGUUGGCUAUGUUCUCUAUGUUUGGAUUCUUCGUUCAAGCCAUCCACCGGAAAGGGACCCUUGGAGAAUCUCGCCGGCCAUUUAGCUGAUCCAGUCAACAACAACGCAUGGGCCUUCGCCACCAACUUCGUCCCCGGAAAGUGAGUGUAAUGUGUGAUCGAGUUGUGUGUAUCGGUUUGUUGAAUCUUGGAAAUGUGAUGUAAACUUCAAACGUUUGAAAUAUUUAUUAAACUUUAUGAUAUUGGUGGAUUCAUUACUUACUAAAUGUACAAGAACAUUACGUGCAACUAAUUCAGGGUUCACACAAAACAACUCGGUUCUAAGGAUAUAAUAGAGAUGCAUGUCUCCAAAUUAUCAGAUGGUCACAUUACAGUUUAAAAAUUUGUUCCAUAUUAUACAAUCUUAUGUGGCAGAAUAUCAAACUUUUUGAGUUCUUGGAUCUAGUUUUCACACAUCCACGAAUGGUUAGGUUAAUUUUGUUUUUCCUUCCUAUAGUCUAAAUUUUCAUUAACUCACGUUUGGCCAUUCCAAGAUUUUGGACGGCUUGGAGACCAUCUACAUGGAAUUCGAAUUUAUAUAGGUGUUUUUUGUGUUUUUAGCAAAAUUGGAAAUAACCACAUGAAACGAACAUAUCAAGAUAUAAAAUUAUAUUUUGGAUCAUAUAUUAGGACGUCUAUGAAAGUAGCACAAACUACUGACAGCACAAACUACUGGCAGCACAUGUUCUAAUUCAAGAUUUAAUAGCAUUCAAGAUAUUAUUACCUUAGCCUUAACGAAGCGGUUCACAAAAGACCAAUACAACAAUAUACGUCCCACCAUCAGAACCGUUAUCAACAUUUUAUAAACCCUGAACAAUCAUAAUAACAUUCUAAUUAAAAGAUAUAUUUAAUAGUUUUAAAUAAUAUUUUUGAUACAUUUUAGUGCAAACGUUUUUUUUCGUAUUAUCAUAUUAACACCUCUCUCCAUUUCAGUUUAUAAAUUGUUUAUAGUUGUUUCAAAUAGGAAAUUAUACCAUAGAUUGUAUGGUAGAGAGCUAGAAUGUAUAUAAAUGUUCGAUCAAUAUAAAGCCAAGUUGUUGACAGGCCGGUCCGGUUUUUAUAACAUUGCAUUUUAUUCUUUACUAGGUAAUAAAUCUCGUAUUUUGUCUAUGUUAUUAAGAGCAAUGGUUGAAGUUUUGAUUCAUAGGAAAAAAGAAGAAAUUUUAAAUAUUCUUGGAUGUUUGAAUAACACAAUUAGAAACUAUUCAACGCACCAAUAAGGCAAUUCAAGAUUUUCAAUUUAAAACUUGCUAAAUCUGCACUAAUAUAUCAUGUAUGAUACUCUUGUUAGGUUCAAUGGAAAUUCUCCACCACCCUUACUAAAUUUAGAGAAAUACAAUUUCUUCAAUUAAAAAAAAUCUUCAUCUUCACCAAUAUAUAUUCUUUCACUGGAGAGAAAGGAGUAUCUCUCAUAUUCUCACCGUUUAGCAAACAAAUGGGUCGGAGAAAGAUCAAGAUGGAGAUGGUUCAGGACAUGAACACAAGACAGGUCACCUUUUCAAAACGGAGGACUGGUUUGUUCAAGAAGGCGAGCGAGUUAGCCACACUCUGCAAUGCCGAGUUGGGUAUUGUUGUCUUUUCACCAGGAGGUAAGCCUUACUCCUACGGGAAACCGAAUCUUGAUGCUGUUACAGAGCGAUUCAUGAGGGAGGAAUGUGAGGAUUCAGAUGAUGGUGAUGAAGAAGGAAGAUGCGGUAACAAUCGACCUAAACUGAAGAAGAUGAACGAACGUCUAGAUUUUCUCAAACAAGAGAUUGAAGCUGAGAAGAAACGAGGAGAGAAGGCUCAGGAGAAGCUUGAAUCUGCUGGUGAAGCGAGAUUUAAGAAGCCCAUUGAGAAGCUUACCAUCGGUGAACUCAACGAAUACAGAGAUAAGUUGCAAAGAGUCCAUGGUAGGAUCCAAGGUCAAGCCAAAAAUUUGCACGCUUCGUCUUGUCUCUUGCUUCUCUCCAAGGACAAGACUCCUGCGAAUGAAGAUUUAGAUAACUAGAUCGACUUAUUUGUAUCACCUUAGAGAAGUUACUAAAUACAUUAAAGAUAUUGUUGGUGAAGAACUGUCUUCAUCUAUGGGGUGUGACUUUCAAUUUGAUAUCAAAAGAAUGUAACUUAGAAACCAGAAAGCACCUAGAAAUUAAAGUGACUUACUAAAACUUGAUCAUCUUUUUCGUCAGUCUGCAGUCUGGAAAUUUCUUUUCAAUUAUAACCGAGGCAGAUUAAAUGAAAUGGUAAAACCUUGGCCAACAUUCAAAAAACUGGUUAGCUUUUAUUGAUCUCCAAGUGCAGUACACAGAAGAAUGAGUAUCAGGAAAGAAUGAUCUCAAGGAAACAGAAACUUCUAAAUAUCACCGAUUUACAAACCCAUCCUAGAAGGCUUAAGAACAUUGUUUUCUAAUGUGGUAAAUAAAAAAUAGUCUAUUCAGAAAAAUUUGAGUCGGUCUCUGAUUCAUCAUAUUCACCUGAUUCCUACAAAAAUAAAUAAUAGAAUGAAAAGCUCAGACCAAUGUGUAAUGUUAAACAAAAGCAAAAGAAAAAUGAAAAGAAAAAAAAUGGGUACCAUUCUCUUGGUAUAUUCUGUCAUUGCUCGUUGAAACUCUUCCCUCUUCUCAGUGGCUAUGUCAUAGUACUUUACCUUUUCCUAUUAAACAGUAGAAGAACAAACAAACAAGGAGUAAGAGACUUCCAUCUUUCUAGAGGAUAUGAAAUACCAACCAAAAACCAUGUGAGUAGCAAAGAGAAGAAGAAUGAAAAUGUUGUUGACCGUAAAGAACUAACAAAACAACCGAGUGCAAAUCGCAAUCUGGCAAACAGCUGACCCAGAUCAUCAUGAGCAUAUCUAUCUAACCAUAUAUACGCUAACGAUGAAACCAUUGUAUUGUCCAAGUAAACAUAACCUAUCACCACAAUUUUCAGAUUCCAUGCAUUCGGGUAUGACUCAAACAACGUUAUUGAGUAAAACUCUUGGAAGACGAUAGAGAAAGCCUGUUAACAAACUCUAAGAGACAAGAAAGUAAAGAGCGUUAUCCAAAUGUUACCUCGUAUGUCAUUGUUUUCCAUUUCUCUCCGCAAGUCUUCCCAAUCUGGAGGUAUUGCAGAACAAAAACAAAUCAGCAACAGAAUCAAAGCGAAUGUAAUAGUCAACUCUGUUUUACUUUAAAAUACCACACAGUAAUUGUCUACAACCUCGCGCAUGGACUUGAUCUCUGGAUUCUGCUCUUGAUAUUGCUUCCGGAAAUCCUCCCUUUGAACCAAAAGAUAAGGCAAUAUGAGGCAAGAGGAAAAUGCAUACAACAGGUGUUUCUUUGUAUGUCUUAUAAAAUAACCAGAGCACAUAACAAUUUGGGAUUACAACAUAAAACAAAUCUCGUCCUAACGAGAAAUGGAAAACCGCAGACGAAUUUCCCCUUAAGAGAGGAGUGCAAAAAGAAGUCAGCUGAUCCAAAAUAUAUUAAAGAUAACAGUUGCACAGUCAUAUCAGAGAGGAUACCUACAAGAAAUAGAAGAAAGCAGUGGGAGGUUUCUUGGGCAUCUUCGAGUGAAGCUUAGCUGGUUUCUUCUUCUUCUUCUGGCUUGUCUUUGGCUUUCUCAAAGGCUGGAGUCUGAGUCUUGUAGACCUCCUUGCAUCUUCGCUUGACUUCACAGCCGACUCUACGUUACUGCAAAGUUUCAGAAUGCAAUUAACAAAGUAACGACAAAGUCUUAGGAACCUCUUUCUUAGUUCUUCUCAGGAUUAACAAGUAAAAGAGGAAGAAUCACUCUUCUCCAAUUUGUACAAUUUCAAAAGGGAAAAAAAGACACCCAUUUGCCUUUGAAUAGCAUAAAUUUCACACAUUUCAUUUCAGUUUGAUCCAAGUCCCUAACUUUUUCACUUAAUCAGUAAUCACUAGAGAGACACCAAGCAGAAACCUAAACAGAGAAAUCAGAGCAAAACCCAAAACUUAUAGCCAUAUAAACCCAUCUAUGCCAUACACAAAAACAUACCGACCAGAGCCUCCGCUGCACGACGGAGACGAAGGCCGCGAUAUCCCUGACUUGGGUGCUUUCUUCGUCAUUUUCUCGCUCCGUCAAAAGAUUUUCUCGCCACUUUCUCGGAAUCGGCCGCUCGGGGUUUUUCGGUAAUUACGUAUGAUGCUUGAAAUGUAAAGAAAUUGAAACAGUUUUGUAUGACAAGUUUGCCACGUGGUGUAAUAUCAUCAACAAGAAAAAAGAACGCCCAGAAAUUAAAAAUUGACAAAUUUAAUUUAGUUUUAACGUUGCGGAGAGAUUACACAUCGAUGGCAACAUCUCUGCUUCUCAGACACUCAUCAGCUGUCUUCUUCUCAAAAUCUUCCCUCUUCUUCACCAAGAACAACUCUUCUCGUUCCGUCACAUCCAUCAAGGUAAGCUUUUUCUCUUUGCAAUUUCUCUGGAAUGGAACAUCUUUAUGUGCAUUUGCAUCAUCUAUUUGCUAGAAGAAUCUUUGUAUCGGAUUGUGUUUGGUUGUUGAGGAAUUAGUAAAUUAGAUUUCCGAAAUUAUGAGACUUGCUUUUGUCUCAGAUGGAAAGAGGUGAAGCAAGUGAAGUGAUCACCGAGAAAACGGGAGAAGGAAACGCGGCUAAGAAGAUGGUGUUCGUCGCCGGAGCCACUGGAAAAACCGGGAAGAGGAUCGUGGAGCAGUUGUUGUCCCAUGGCUUCGCCGUCAAAGCCGGUGUUCGUGAUGUAGAGAAAGCAAAAACAUCUUUCAAAGACGACCCGUCUCUUCAGAUUGUAUGUUCUAUUUCCUUGUCUUAAUCUAAUGUUCUUUCGCUGUUAGUUUUGUUUUGAAAAUCCCACAACUACCUCUGUGAUUAGGUUAGAGCAGACGUGACAGAAGGUCCUGAGAAGCUAGCUGAAGCUAUAGGUGAUGAUUCUAAAGCUGUGAUUUGUGCUUCUGGGUUUCGUCCCGGGUUUGAUCUUUUCGCUCCUUGGAAAGUCGAUAAUUUCGGGACAGUGAAUCUGGUGGAUGCGUGCCGGAAACAAGGAGUGGAUAGGUUUGUUCUCAUAAGCUCAAUCUUGGUGAACGGAGCUGCAAUGGGGCAGAUACUGAACCCAGCUUACAUCUUCCUCAACGUCUUUGGACUAACUCUGGUCGCAAAGCUUCAAGCCGAGAAGUAUAUCAAAAGAUCCGGCAUCAACUAUACCAUAGUAAGGCCCGGUGGUCUUAAAAACGAUCCUCCAACAGGAAACGUAGUCAUGGAGCCAGAGGUAAAACCUUCUUUGAUCUUUGUUUCUGUCUGCUUUUGUGCUGGAACAACUGAUAAAGAUCUAACCUUUGAUCUUUUGUAGGAUACUUUGUCUACAGGGAGCAUAUCAAGAGACCAGGUCGCAGAAGUUGCAGUGGAAGCUCUACUUAAUGAGGAAUCGUCUUUCAAGGUUGUGGAGAUCGUUGCUCGUCCCGAUGCUCCAAAACUUUCCUACAAAGAUCUCUUUGCUUCUGUUAAGGGAGGAAAUUAACUAGGAUACAAAUCAAUCACAAUGUAACGAGUCUCAUGCUCUAUUUGAAAACUUAUUUCUCUUAUGUCUUGAGUACAACAAACAAACAGAUGUGCAUAAGCUUUUGUUCAUAAACUGAGUUCAAGGUAAGCAUUGAGAGAGUUUCAUUCAUUUUUAUCUCUUCUCCAUUUUUGGGUCUUAAGAACCCAUUAAUGGCGCUUGUUCCCGGUCGCUUGUUCCCAUGAGUGCAAGACAUGGUUCACGAUUUCCUCGACCCCAAGUCCAUGCUUCACCUGGAAGUGUUAAAGUAAUCAAAGAAGACACCUUUGUGAGAACUAAGCUCAUUUGGUUAUAUAUUAAGUGAUGAAUCAUAUUCCGAAGAUGGUGAACCUGAGCAAAGACGAAUGGCCCUCCAUCACGCAUGCGUAGUGCAUCCCGUUCCAUGACAGAUAAGUCGGCCCCAACAGCUGCUGCGAGGUCUGUUUUGUUUAUCACCUACCCCAAGAGAUUCUUUCACAUUAGUUACUAUAGACUUGAGAUCAAAAGAGCUUUUAAGUUAAGAGUUUAAGCAACAUAAGGGCACCAGAAGAUCAGCUUGAGUGAUUCCAGGGCCGCCUUUCCGGGGUAUUUUAUCACCAGCCGAUACAUCGAUGAUGUAGAUGAUGUAGUCAGCUAGUUCUCUGCUGAAAUUAGCAGCUAAAUUAUCUGCAAACCCAACACUAAUCCUAUUCAACCUCACUGGAUCCUUCAGAAACAGUAAUCAAAAACUAGGGAGGGGAAUAGAAAUGAAACCUCCACCGGAUUCACAAAGAAGCAAAUCAGCCUUGAAUAAGUUAUGUAACUCCUCAAGAGGACCCAAAUUGAUACUGAUAUCUUCACGGAUCGCAGCGUGUGGACAUCCACCGGUUUCAACAGCCCUAAUCCUUUCCUCAGGAAGAGCACCAUUCUUCACCAGAAACUCGCCGUCUUCUUUGGUGAAUAUAUCAUUUGUCACCUACAAGAUCAAAAUCUUCUUUAUUGACAUGUGUAGUGCACAAAAAACAAGGAAACAAUCUUGUGUGGGAGCUCAGAAUUAACUCAUAAUCGGAAAGAUUUGCCGGUGAUAAUAAUAAUACUCACAGCAGCAAGACUAUAUUUGUCCCUCAAGAAUCUACAGAGAGCAAGCAUCAAUGCUGUUUUCCUGAUUGAACAGAAACAAAAUCAAUUCAGAACACAAAGUUGACACAUUUGAGCAAAAGAGAUGAAACCCAAUUAACAUUUCCAAAGAAGCCAUCACAGAUUCGAGGUUUGAAUAUGUUACCAAAUAAAUAAAAAAAUCAAGCAGCCAAUUUGAUUUUUUUCAACUACCCUGUGCCAACGGGACCGCCAAUACCGACGGUAAAAGCUCUCUCGGAGAAGUUACGGUCGUGAAGCGGUGGAGCUCGGCGGCUGAAGUAGCCAGGGGAGUAGAUGGGUUCGUGUGAGUGCGGUGCGAGUCCAUCGUGGCUAUGGUACACCUUCCCGUCCGGUCCCACCCACGACAUCUCCCCAUCGCCGCCGUCCGAUUUCCUACUUUGCAGAAUUAGAUAAGAUAGAUUAGUGAUGGUGAGAGAAUAAAUCGCAGAAAGACUAAAACUUUACGGAGGAAGGGAAAAUCAAUGAAACACGAACUAACUUGUGGCCAUGCUCGUGAUCGUGAUGAUGAUGAUGACCGUGGUCGUGUGACUCCAUUGCAAGGAGAUUUGAAGCUUGUUGUUGUGGUUGUAUUGACUUUGACUUGUGCUACUAGAGAGUGAUAUUGAUUUGAGCACACAAGAAGUAAGAACCUUUUUUAUCUCCAAAGUGAUUGGAGAUUCUACUAUUUUUCGCUCUAGGGUGCUUAAAAUGACUGAAAUGGCCCUGUUCUAUGUCGAUAAGAUUCCAUCGUUGAUCUGUGGUGAGAAAAUGGAUUUUAGUUACAAAAAUAGCACUUCUCGCUUUUUCAAAUGUACAGUAGAAGCCUUGAGUUGAUAAUUUGCUUUUUAGUGGUUUACAGCGUAUGGAAUCGUAUAUAUACGUAUUCUAUUACUGAUUUUGUCUACAACAAAGAACCCAACAUAGGAGGAAUUAAGAAAGAAGGAAAAGGGUUUUCUUUCAUAAGCAAAAAACAUGAACCACAAAAUCCAGAAAAGGUCUAGUAUAGUUUCAUGAAUACGCCUAGAAUGUUGAUAAACAAAAAUUUCAGGGAAAAUCCAAAACAGCAGAGAACAUAACUUCAUCACGAUUCUACGCCACAAAAAAAAAAAGAGUCAAUCAGAGACCUUUUACAUGAACAAGUUGGGUUUGGAGGCCUUGUAAGUCGUCUUCAGCUUCCUGCUUGGUGGUCUCACCUUGCGGAACACCAAUGGGAACUUGAUCUUACUGUUAUGGAACUGCUUGGUGCUCUCUCUCUUGCACAAAGCUGCCGGGACAGUGGCUGUCUUAAUAAUCUGGAUGCAAGGGAACCUGACACGGUGUCUGGAAGCCAUCUCUGUGUACAUCUGUUCCACAGCUCCGUUCAAGGUAGUGUCACGAUACUCCUUGUACAUAUUGUGGUAUCCAGUUCUGCUCUGAUACCUCAACCAGAUUCCAAAAUUCUUGAUGGUUGUCGGGUUUUUCUCAAAAAUCUGUAAACAAAUUUUGUAAUCGAUUACGUAAAGUAAGGAGGAGGCAUAGAACAAUAAAACUACACAAGCUCAUGCGAACAACAUAACAUCUGUUUCAAAAUUGAUCUAAGUCGUAACGAAAAAGAUAUCACAUUGAGAACGACCUAGUUGCUGAAUACUAAGAAAUUUGCAUUGUCAAUCGUUAUAAAGAUAGUUCAUUUACAGAAGAUUUUCACAAAUUCUAAACAACUAAAGAUCAAAACUUUACUGUUCUUGUUCGGCAAAUUCAGUUACUUUCCUGAUAUAUUAAUCGACUAACAACUUCGCUAACACAGUGAUGUAUCAUAACUUCAGAUCCGGUAGCGAAAUUUUCGUUUUAUCGAUGAGAAAGUAGAAACUUAAGUACCUCAUUAAUGGCCAGCAUCUGUCCAUUACUCUUCUUAACUUUCUUUAGCUUCCUCAAAAAAUACCUACUCCAAAUAACAACACCAGUCAAAACGGAUCAAUUCUAUAAUGCAGCAAUUAAAAGAAAACAUCCCGAGAAAAAAAACACAAUUUUACUAACCAGAACUUGGACUUGGCACGAACCUCGUUCGUAGCCCAGAGCUUCAUACGGUAAAUCUUAGGGUGCUCAUCUUUCUCUGUCGGGAGAGCUCUUCCCACAACCUGGUACUGGUGAAACUGACAAAACGAAACAAAAAAAAAAUAUGCCGAGAUCAUCAGAUUCGCCGAGGUUCAAACUUAAUACAGCAACAAUGGAGACAUUUAGAUAGAGAAUGGAUCAAGAGCUUACCUUGAAAGUGACCAUUUUCGUCUCGAGGGAGCAGUUCGGUAGAAACCUCAACCACAAUUAGCGGCUAGGGUUUUUUUU